GCAAUCAACAAUUAACCCCCAAAACCUAACUAAAGAAAAUAUUUAACUCUUUCAGUACUUUGUUAUAACUAUUUUACAAUUUCACAUCACUAACCCGCAAGGAUACCCUAUUAUACGCACAUCACAGAAUAGUUUAUCACUCCUCCCUUUUGCAUCAUGGAAGAGCAACAUAAAACCACAAAUUUAACUUCCCGAAUAACUAUGAGCUACUAGUACAUAAACCUUAAUAUAGCAUAAUUAAGAUAUUAAUUACUUGUAGGAGCAAUAAGCCUUCCAUAUAGUUUGAUAGCUGGCUUUCUUCAAAAGGCAUCAAAGUGCCUUCCUGUACAAAAAAACAAAAUAUUUCAUUUACAGGAAAAAGCCUCCUGAGGACUAGCUCAGGAGGCUCGCAUAAAUUAGAACAAUACCCGCUUAUUAAUAGUAGGCCUAAAAUCAGCCAUCUAAUAACGUUCCAGUAAUAUAACCUCUCCACUAAUAUUAAUAUCCAAAUAUUCAUAUUACAUAUAUUAGAAGAACAUAAUGAAUAACAUCAACUCACUAAAGAACUGGCAUCUUAUUAGUAUUUGUCAAACUUUCUCUUUAUAUUUUUAAAACCUAAAAUCAUAAUACCAACAAUUAACAUCAAACCAUAUAAAAUGAACUCGGCAAAUAAUUUCCUUGCCUGUUUACCAAAAACAUCGUCUUUUGAUUCUUAUUACAUAAAAGAUAAUGCCUGCCCAGUGAAUUUUUAAACGGCCGCGUUAGCGUGAGCGUGCUAAGGUAGCGUAAUAAUUAGCCUCUUAAUUGGAGGCCAGUGAAAGGCAACACUAGGAAUACCUGUACUUUGUAUGAAAAAAGAACUUUUUUUCUAAGUGAAAAAUCUUAGAUAAUAAGGGAAGACGAAAAGACCCCGCGGAACUUUACCUUUUCUAUUAAGAUUUUACAUCAAUUAAAAUAAUUCUCAAUAAGGUUUGAUUGGGGCAAUCUCGGAACCACAUAAACUUCCGACUUUUUUUAAAAAAAAUAAAAAACUUGUUUUGGACUAAAAAGAAGUUACCCCGGGGAUAACAGCGUUAUCCAACUCGAGAGUACACAUCGAAAGUUGGGUUUGCGACCUCGAUGUUGGCUUAAGGACAUCCACAUUAGUGCAGCCGCUAUGAAUGGAUAGUCUGUUCGACUAUUAUAACCUUACACGAGCUGAGUUAAAACCGGCGCAAGCUAGGUUGGUUUCUAUCUCCCUUCUAUAUUACUCUUCUUGAUUGUACGAAAGGACCUCAAGAGACGUAACUAAAACUACGCCCAAAUAAACAUACUAAACAUUACUUUAACCCCUAAUAUACUUCC
rnacentral:rRNA from 1 species